CUUAAAGGAAGUUGACGGGGCCGGCACAAGCGGAGGAGCAUGUGGUUUAAUUCGAUGAUACGCGAGGAACCUUACCUGGGCUCGAACGUAAGAUGACUGUAGGUGAAAGCUUACAUCUCUUCGGAGCAUUUUACGAGGUGCUGCAUGGUUGUCGUCAGCUCGUGCCGUGAGGUGUCGGGUUAAGUCCCAUAACGAGCGCAACCCCUACCUUUAGUUGCCAUCAGGUUAAGCUGGGGACUCUAAAGGAACUGCCUACGCAAGUAGUGAGGAAGGCGGGAUGACGUCAAAUCAGCACGGCCCUUACGUCCAGGGCUACACACGUGCUACAAUGGCCGAUACAGAGGGCAGCUACCUGGUGACAGGAUGCAAAUCUCCAAAGUCGGUCUCAGUUCGGAUCGGAGUCUGCAACCCGACUCCGUGAAGUUGGAUUCGCUAGUAAUCGCGCAUCAGCCAUGGCCGCGGUGAAUAACGUUACCCGGGCCUU
rnacentral:rRNA from 1 species